UAGUGGCGAACGGGUGAGUAACACGUGGGCAAUCUGCCCUUCACUCUGGGACAAGCCCUGGAAACGGGGUCUAAUACCGGAUAACACUNUUCCCUGCAUGGGGGAGGGUUGAAAGCUCCGGCGGUGAAGGAUGAGCCCGCGGCCUAUCAGCUUGUUGGUGGGGUGAUGGCCUACCAAGGCGACGACGGGUAGCCGGCCUGAGAGGGCGACCGGCCACACUGGGACUGAGACACGGCCCAGACUCCUACGGGAGGCAGCAGUGGGGAAUAUUGCACAAUGGGCGGAAGCCUGAUGCAGCGACGCCGCGUGAGGGAUGACGGCCUUCGGGUUGUAAACCUCUUUCAGCAGGGAAGAAGCGUGAGUGACGGUACCUGCAGAAGAAGCGCCGGCUAACUACGUGCCAGCAGCCGCGGUAAUACGUAGGGCGCAAGCGUUGUCCGGAAUUAUUGGGCGUAAAGAGCUCGUAGGCGGCUUGUCGCGUCGGAUGUGAAAGCCCGGGGCUUAACUCCGGGUCUGCAUUCGAUACGGGCAGGCUAGAGUGUGGUAGGGGAGAUCGGAAUUCCU
rnacentral:rRNA from 1 species